GACGAACGCUGGCGGCGUGCCUAAUACAUGCAAGUCGAGCGCAGGAAAUCGACGGAACCCUUCGGGGGGAAGUCGACGGAAUGAGCGGCGGACGGGUGAGUAACACGUAAAGAACCUGCCCUCAGGUCUGGGAUAACCACGAGAAAUCGGGGCUAAUACCGGAUGGGUCAUCGGACCGCAUGGUCCGAGGAUGAAAGGCGCUUCGGCGUCGCCUGGGGAUGGCUUUGCGGUGCAUUAGCUAGUUGGUGGGGUAAUGGCCCACCAAGGCGACGAUGCUUAGCCGACCUGAGAGGGUGAUCGGCCACACGGGGACUGAGACACGGCCCAGACUCCUACGGGAGGCAGCAGUAGGGAAUCUUCCACAAUGGACGAAAGUCUGAUGGAGCAACGCCGCGUGAACGAUGAAGGCCUUCGGGUCGUAAAGUUCUGUUGUAAGGAAAGAACAAGUGCCGCAGGCAAUGGCGGCACCUUGACGGUACCUUGCGAGAAAGCCACGGCUAACUACGUGCCAGCCGCCGCAGUAA
rnacentral:rRNA from 1 species